GGAUGUGGGAUUGCACAGACAACCAGGAUGUUGGCUUAGAAGCAGCCACUCAUUCAAAGAGUGCGUAAUAGCUCACUGGUCGAGUGAUCCUGCGCCGAAGAUUUCCGGGGCUAAAACUUACUACCGAGGCUACGGCAUCAUUAUGAUGGGUAGGGGAGCUUCCCAUACGGGUUGAAGCAUGACCGUAAGGACAUGUGGACAGUA
rnacentral:rRNA from 1 species